rnacentral:rRNA from 1 species
GGCUUACCAAGGCGACGAUCAGUAGCCGACCUGAGAGGGUGAUCGGCCACAUUGGAACUGAGACACGGUCCAAACUCCUACGGGAGGCAGCAGUGGGGAAUAUUGCACAAUGGGCGAAAGCCUGAUGCAGCAACGCCGCGUGAGUGAUGAAGGCUUUCGGGUCGUAAAACUCUGUCCUCAAGGAAGAUAAUGACGGUACUUGAGGAGGAAGCCCCGGCUAACUACGUGCCAGCAGCCGCGGUAAUACGUAGGGGGCUAGCGUUAUCCGGAUUUACUGGGCGUAAAGGGUGCGUAGGCGGUCUUUCAAGUCAGGAGUGAAAGGCUACGGCUCAACCGUAGUAAGCUCUUGAAACUGGGAGACUUGAGUGCAGGAGAGGAGAGUGGAAUUCCUAGUGUAGCGGUGAAAUGCGUAGAUAUUAGGAGGAACACCAGUUGCGAAGGCGGCUCUCUGGACUGUAACUGACGCUGAGGCACGAAAGCGUGGGGAGCAAACAGGAUUAGAUACCCUGGUAGUCCACGCUGUAAACGAUGAGUACUAGGUGUCGGGGGUUACCCCC